CAGUCGCCGCGGUAAAACGGAGGGGGCUAGCGUUGUUCAGAAUUACUGGGCGUAAAGCGCGCGUAGGCGGUUUUUUAAGUCUGAUGUGAAAGCCCCCGGCUCCACCGGGGAGGGUCAUUGGAAACUGGGAAACUUGAGUGCAGAAGAGGAGAGUGGAAUUCCACGUGUAGCGGUGAAAUGCGUAGAGAUGUGGAGGAACACCAGUGGCGAAGGCGACUCUCUGGUCUGUAACUGACGCUGAGGAGCGAAAGCGUGGGGAGCGAACAGGAUUAGAUACCCCGGUAGUCCCUGUCUCUUAUAC
rnacentral:rRNA from 1 species